UACGUAGGUGGCAAGCGUUGUCCGGAUUUACUGGGCGUAAAGAGCGCGCAGGCGGUCGAUUUAGUCGCGUGUGAAAGCCCCCGGCUCAACUGGGGAGGGUCACGCGAUACUGAUCGACUCGAAGGCAGGAGAGGGUAGUGGAAUUCCCGGUGUAGUGGUGAAAUGCGUAGAUAUCGGGAGGAACACCAGUUGCGAAGGCGGCUCUCUGGACCAGCACUGACACUGAGGCACGAAAGCGUGGGGAGCAAACGGG
rnacentral:rRNA from 1 species